UUCAUACUGAGAAUCAUAAUCCACCUCAAGCCUACUUGCUUUCACACAAGCAUGAACAUCAUGAGAAAAAUCAGAAUUAUAACCAUUGUCAGAAGGUUCUUCAACAGCCAUCUUAUCAAAACUAUUUACAAUAUCCUUAGAGUUGUUCCAGUAUGCAUCAGAAUGAGAAUGUAACAAUGCUUUAGACAUUUCUGAAGACUUUGUCACGAGUUUCUCAUUUUCCUUAUGCAUUAAA
rnacentral:misc_RNA from 1 species